rnacentral:rRNA from 1 species
AACUAAAAAUAGCUCAAAAUACAUUAUAUGAUAAUAUUCUAAAAAUCUAAAAUAAAACAUUCAUUAAGAUAAAAGUAUAGGCGAUAGAAAUUUUAAUUGACGCUAUAGAGAAAGUACCGCAAGGGAAAAAAUGAAAGAAAAUUUUUAAGUAGAAAAAAGCAAAGAUUAACUCUUGUACCUUUUGCAUAAUGAUUUAACUAGAAAAUGUUAGCAAAAAGAAUUAAAGUUAAAUACCCCGAAACUAGACGAGCUACCCACUAGCAGCCUUAAGAGCAAACUCGUCUAUGUGGCAAAAUAGUGAGAAGACUAAUGGGUAGAGGCAAUAAACCUAUCGAGCCUAGUGAUAGCUGGUUGUCCAGAACAGAAUUUUAGUUCUAAUUUAAACCUGCCACAAAAACAACAAAUUUAAAUGUAGGAUUAAAUAAUAGUCUAAGAGGGUACAGCCUCUUAGAUUAGGGACUCAACCCCUAUUAGUGAGUAAAAAUAAAUAAAAACACUAUAGUUGGCCUAAAAGCAGCCAUCAAACAAGAUAGCGUUCAAGCUCAAUAAGCACAUAAAAAACUAAUUUCAAUUAUUAAAUAACUAACUCCUAAUAUAAAACUGGACUAUUCUAUUUACAAAUAGAAGAAAUAAUGUUAAUAUGAGUAACAAGAAAUAAUUCUCCCUGCAUGCGUGUAUAUCAGAACGAAUAACUCACUGAUAAUUAACCAAACUUUAAUAUAACUACUCAAUUAAAAUCUACAAUAUAAUUGUUAGUCCAACACAGGUAUGCAAACAGGGAAAGAUUAAAAAGAGUAAAAGGAACUCGGCAAACAUAAACCUCGCCUGUUUACCAAAAACAUCACCUCUAGCAUUCAAAGUAUUAGAGGCACUGCCUGCCCGGUGACUCUAGUUUAACGGCCGCGGUAUCCUGACCGUGCAAAGGUAGCAUAAUCACUUGUUCUCUAAAUAAGGACUUGUAUGAAUGGCCUCACGAGGGUUUUACUGUCUCUUACUCUCAAUCAGUGAAGUUGACCUUCCCGUGAAGAGGCGGGAAUAAGAAAAUAAGACGAGAAGACCCUAUGGAGCUUUAAUUAAUCAACUCACGAACUACAACAACACUCCAUCAUGGAGCUAAACUUAUUUCACAUGAGUUGACAAUUUAGGUUGGGGUGACCUCGGAAUAAAAAUAAACUCCCGAGAUAAUUUAAAUCAAGACAAACAAGUCAAAAUUCUCCUAUUAAACAUUGAUCCGCUAAGCGAUCAACGAAACAAGUUACCCUAGGGAUAACAGCGCAAUCCUAUUUAAGAGUCCAUAUCGACAAUUAGGGUUUACGACCUCGAUGUUGGAUCAGGACAUCCCAAUGGUGCAGCCGCUAUUAAUGUGUUCGUUUGUUCAACGAUUAAAGUCCUACGUGAUCUGAGUUCAGACCGGAGAAAUCCAGGUCGGUUUCUAUCUAUUUUAUAGUCCCUCCUAGUACGAAAGGACAAGAGAGACAGGGCCUACUUCAAACAAGCGCCCUAAUCAAUAAGAUGAACUAAUCUUAAUCUUAUUUUAUAGAAUAUUAGCCCAAGAACAGGGCUUA